AAUACAUGCAAGUAGAACGCUGAAGAGAAGAGCUUGCUCUUCUUGGAUGAGUUGCGAACGGGCGAGUAACGCGUAGGUAACCUGCCUGGUAGCGGGGGAUAACUAUUGGAAACGAUAGCUAAUACCGCAUGAUAUUAAUUGUCGCAUGAUAAUUAAUUGAAAGAUGCAAUUGCAUCACUACCAGAUGGACCUGCGUUGUAUUAGCUAGUUGGUGAGGUAACGGCUCACCAAGGCGACGAUACAUAGCCGACCUGAGAGGGUGAUCGGCCACACUGGGACUGAGACACGGCCCAGACUCCUACGGGAGGCAGCAGUAGGGAAUCUUCGGCAAUGGGGGGAACCCUGACCGAGCAACGCCGCGUGAGUGAAGAAGGUUUUCGGAUCGUAAAGCUCUGUUGUAAGAGAAGAACGGGUGUGAGAGUGGAAAGUCACACUGUGACG
rnacentral:rRNA from 1 species